rnacentral:rRNA from 1 species
UAGGGAAUCUUCCACAAUGGACGCAAGUCUGAUGGAGCAACGCCGCGUGAGUGAAGAAGGCUUUCGGGUCGUAAAACUCUGUUAUUGAAGAAGAACGUGUGUGACAGUAACUGGUCAUGCAGUGACGGUAUUCAAUCAGAAAGUCACGGCUAACUACGUGCCAGCAGCCGCGGUAAUACGUAGGUGGCAAGCGUUGUCCGGAUUUAUUGGGCGUAAAGCGAGUGCAGGCGGUCUUUUAAGUCUGAUGUGAAAGCCUUCGGCUUAACCGAAGAAGGGCAUCGGAAACUGGGAGACUUGAGUGCAGAAGAGGAGAGUGGAACUCCAUGUGUAGCGGUGAAAUGCGUAGAUAUAUGGAAGAACACCAGUGGCGAAGGCGGCUCUCUGGUCUGUAACUGACGCUGAGGCUCGAAAGCGUGGGUAGCAAACAGGAUUAG